rnacentral:misc_RNA from 1 species
GCUCUAUCUGAGGAGGACUUGAAGCUGGUCAUGGAGAUGAAAGCAGAGGCUCAGAAAACUGUAGUAGCCCAAGGUGGCGAACCGAAUGAUGAUGGAGUGCUGCUUACGAUGAGCGCUCUAACGGACGAUGGAGUGAUAGCUGUGAAGAAUGCUGCCUGUGAGAGGCUGCUGGACCAGCGGGUGGAGGUAAAGAUGAAGUCGAAGAAAAUAAAUGAUUGCCUGAACCGUUUUCAUGUUGCAAUGCCGAAGCCCCGCGACACGAAAGAGCGUCCUCCUUGUAUUCCUCAGGCGGUUCUUGAAGCCAGAGCCAAGGAGAACGGUGAGAAGGAAAAGAAGAAGCUGGAGAAGGAUCUGGAAGAAGAGAAUGGUGGUGCUGGAGUUUAUUCUGCAAGCCUCAAAAAACAUUACAUAUUGGCUGAUGAUGAAUGGAAGGAGGACAUAAUGCCAGAGAUUCUG